AUACUAUUCUACAUCUUUCAUUCUUGCCCAUAUAUAUUUUGUAAGGUCUACCAGUGAUAUAUUUUAUUGACGUAGUUUUGCCUUAUUCUAAUGGAUAUAGUAAGGGAGCUUUUUUAUCACAUAUUCUAUCCUUAGCAGACUCCCUUUAUAUUCAAUAUUGAUUUUUUAAAAAGUAUUAUUUUUUAUUUUUUUAUUUUUAUUUUUUAUUUUGUGAACAAACCUGUGUAGUCAAAAAUGCUAACUGCUUUUCUUGGAUUGUUUUGUUAUUACUUCUGUUUUCCAUGAAUUCGUAUGUUCUUCCAGCACAAUAAUGCAUUGCACAUGAAUUCAAAGUAAUAUCAAUAACUGUGCUGUCUAUCUCUUUUGUUCCAGUGAUUCACUUUACUUAGGAACAUCUAUGUGGAUGUAGUCGUUACCCCUGAGAUAAUAUCACACACUACAUUCCUUCAUAAUAAUGGAUUUUAAUUUGAAAUUAUGGAAAAAUGAGCUGAUCAAAAAUAACCCAUAGGCGAUGGAAUGAACUACAUAUAAAAUCGUCAGCAGGUCUAAAUUAAUCUGUCUCUCUUUUCUACAGAUCAGGGUGGAUUUUUUUUUUCUUCCUUUAAAAAAAAAAACACACACAAAAAUAAAAAAAACAACUGUUCUUAACGCUUGAACAAAUCCCUUUUUCUUCCCCUCGAUAAUGUGGUUAACUGUCUGGAAUGUGAGCCACUGGAAAUUCUUCCCCACAGAAGAAUCCCCAUUAAGCUUUCAAGCAGACUUACUUCAUCCCCACAGCUGCAUGGAUAGAAGACUUUCUAGUGCCUAAAUACUUACUGUAUAUGUCAUCCUUAAAUUUAAUUUUUUUUUUUUUUUUUCCCAGCCAGAGCUCUAGGAGCAGGUGCUAGCAUUUUGCUUCCUUUCUGCUUCCUCUGUGGGGAACGGGCUAGAAAGAGCCAACUAAUUAGAAAAUUCUACAGGGAAAUCAAUUCUGCAAACAGCUGAGGAAUGGCAUUUCAGUAUAAUGCUCACUUUGUCUGUCAGCAGGGCCUUGGUUGACUUGACAAGUGGCAGUUCUUCCAGAUGUUACACAUGUUGGGAUAAGACCAGAACUGCAUCGUACAUUGCCCAUUCAUGAAAAGCUGUGAUGCUCCAAAAGAGUAAAUAAAAUAAAACUGAUGUUAACGACAUACUAUAUUGCUGUCACAAGACAACAGCAUGGUAUUUUAACAUGUGUUUGAGGUGCAGCAAUGAACUUACUUUUAGUGAUUUGAGUAUUGAGUGGUGUCUUUGCUUUCAUUCAGGGGUAAGGCAGAGGGGUGGGGGGUUAAAGAGACGUGCAGAACCAUUUAGUGUGAAAGGGCUAGAUAGUCAAAGUUAUGCUUGCAUAUUGUACACAUCUAAAAAAUACGUGCAGAUCUGUUAUGUGUCUGAGCAAAAAGCCACUUUUUUAAAUAGUAGCUGGUUAUGUGUACAUGAGAAUAGUCACAUCUGCAUACACAGGCUCCCUUGUUCAGAGGCACUGGUGACUUGAAGCUACAAGGAUUGCCCGUUUGUAAGGAGACUGUUGUGAGAUGUUCAAGGAAACAGCAUUGUCUUGGAGAAGAAGAAGAUUUGUCAGAGACUUUGCCAGUACCAGUUUCACCAUCUUAGUAUUUCUUAGUUACAGUCUAAAACUGCAUUUAGCCACUUACCCCAUCUUAAGUGAUGUGUCAGGUUCUCAGAUCUCUUCUCAAGGCAGCCAUAGACCUCUGCAACACUCAAGCCAAGAACAGCAUAAAAAGCACAGUCCUCUUCCCAACCACAUUCCUUAUCUGUUCCUUCCAACCCCCUCCCCCCCCCCCCCCCAUUUUUCCUCAAGCUAUUUGUAAUGUGAGGCAGUCUUCAUCAGCAGACUUCUCAUGUACACCAUUCUCAGAUAGACUUGGCAUCCAUUGUCUCUGUCCUGCCAGGAGAUGGCCUUGGGCUUUGCUCAGCUGUGCAGAAGUAUUCUCCAGACUCCAGAUGUCUGGGAAUUUGCUCUGGACUUAAUAUAUAAAUAAGAGCUUGUGAGCUUGGCAAUAGAGAUAGAGCAGCGUGAAUAAGGAUGUUUUCUUGUGAUGGUCAUCAGAAAGACUGGAGGGGUCAAUCUGGAAGAAAGACAUCUCUUUCUUGUGAGGGCAUGGGAGCAUGUGGGGUUGUGAGGAUGACAAGAAGGUCAGAUGUUUUGGUCAAAUUCGAGUACGUCACUGAGAUACUGAGCAAGCUCAAAACAGAACAGCUGAUUGCUUUGAAGAGCCAACACUUGAAAUUACUUAAAGCACUCUUCUACCAAAGAGACAGAAGACAGCUUUCAUAUUCUCGAGUCAUCCUACAAAGUCCUGCGUGAAAUAGACUACUGCAGCCUACAGGCAUCAUAGAAAUAUUUCAGUCAAGACCACAAGUUCCACUCUUGCCCCUAUGCUUAUGCUAAUGUGCACGAUCUCUUUGAUGAACAGCAGCAAGGAGACUGGAUAGCUUGAGGUGUAAUUGAUGGGAUGCUGAAGGUCUGGCUGUUGUUUUGGUGGUUAUUUUUAUAGAUUAUAAAGGAACUGACCAUGCAGUGCUACCUCAACUUGUGGCUGAAUCUAACAGCUUCAUGGACUCAGCCCUCCAUUUAGCCCAUUUGGUCAAAUUAGGCUGGUGGUAACUGAAAGCUGUGACCAGCUGAUGGCUAUGUUGAAUGAUAGCUUGUGGAAAUCUCCUUAGUGGACUCAGACCAAAUUUUACUGACAGAAUCUCACUAUCUCCAAGCAAAUUCCUCCAAAAUAAAUGCUAACUCGAGGCUCAGGGGCAACCACAGGUUUAAAGACAAGGAGGGUGAACUUGUGUCUUCUCUAGAAGUAUUGUCUGUAAGCCAGCAAUGAAGUGAAAAAAAGGCACAUUUGUGUCAGCACCACCCAGGCUGUCAAUAAAGAACUCCUGCCCUCAGAACUAUCAAAUCAAAUUCAUAUGAAUUUCCCACUCUUCCAAAACCACUUUCCCACAGGGAAGAAGGGAUCACAAAAUUAAACAGCAUUCCCUUCUUCUCACAUCUUUGUAAUCUGCAAGCACUGUGCCUGUCACAGUGCUCCCAGGAGGUUUCCUUAACCAUAAUGUCUCAUCUCUGCAAACAGCUGUUUCCCUUUUGCACAAGAGUUCUUGGAGAUAUGCUUCACUUAUCAGAACUAUACCACUGAAAAGCUGGUAAAUAACCAAGUUCUGUUGGAAAGAUGAAAUCGCACUGCAGAUAGAUGGAUUUGCUUAACCUAUAAAAUAAUUCUGAGAUAGCUAUUGUUUUGGCAAAAUUCUAAAAUGUAACAAAGUUUGAUUGUUCUUGGCUUCUCCUAAUUUGCUUACUUUGGGGUAAUAGCUGGCCUUCAAUAUGCAUGUUAGUCUCGUUACUGUUAAGUUAAAUAUAUACACACAUAUCUAAGAGAGGUUUGACCAUUUACUGUCAGUGUUCCAAGGUUAGCUGAAGUCUGGACCUAUUACUUUCUCUGUGCUCCACUAAUUGAGACCAAGGCUUAUGCAAGACUUCCUUGGGGAUCACAGGGUCUGAGGUUUUUAUAGUCCACAAGGCUAAAAUUCAAAUAUGAACCACAGCUGUUUGGAUGGAAGUCCUGGACCUCAUCCUUUUGAACUAUAGUGACCUGCUCAGCCUUGCCAUCAUGUGAAACUCAGAAAUCCCUGCACAGAUGAUGACUGGGAUGUGAAAAUUGCCUGCCAAGCAGACCUGGGUAAAGUGAUUGGUUUACAGUGCUCUGGGAUUUGCAGGUGGAAGGACUGCUCUCUCACUCUCCUCUGCUACCCUCUUCCCUUCCAUUUCUGUACAUAUCAUUCUUUUAUAUAUAUAUAUAUAUAUAUAUGCAGAUUUGAUUCCACAUUCACCACCCAAACAGCUGAAUUGAUGUUCCUAUUGAAGAUGGUGAAGUUCCUCCCUUCUGCCAAGUACAGUUAUUUUUAUGAGUCCCCAGUAAGAGGUAAAGUAAGAGAAACAGGGUGUGGGAUAAACUAGUUAAUCUAUUUAAAUAGGGAUAGACCUCUAGCGCCCUAACACUUAAAUACUUUGUCUUCACUCGGCUGUGCUAUAUUUUAACUGGGGACUACAACCAGGACAAACAAGCGUGGCCUUUUCCUACUGUGGAUUGUCAUGCGAAAAUACUUGUGAAGGGGUGGAGUAAACAUUUUUGGGGAUCACACUGCAAGAGGAGAUAUAUGGGAACUCACUGUGAUGCAAAAGGAAAUCAUGUGUUACUCCACAGAUGAUGUGAUUGGCAUUGUGAGCUCAGAUGCGUAAAGACUAUCGAGGCAAAAAAAUCAAGAUUGAAGCAGAAUGAAAUACUCCUUUCUUCGGUAAGUCAGUGGGAGUCAUAAAUACUUCUGCAUCAGCUAGGAAAGCUACAAAAAACUAAAUCACAACUCUAUUUUCAUGCUGAUGCAUGCACUUUAAAGUAAUAUAUAUAAAAAUGCCUUCCUUUUGGCAUAACUGCAAUUACAUAAAUAUUUAGAUUUAUACUAAUAAGUAAUUUUGCAGAAGUUUAAAAUGAUAGGCUGCGUGAUAGCUAUUUAAGGGGAUGGGCAGCCCACCUUCCAGUGGCCACAGUGACUUCCAUCAAGUCGUAAUUGCAGGAGAGGGUGCUUCUGGAAAUUAAUGGUGAAUCUUAUAUUCCCUUGCAUUUAGAAUCCAAAUCUAUUAUUUCAUUACUACUGUUAAUUAUAUAACAAUCAUAUAAUAAUUAUAAAAAUAAUUAUAUAAUAACUAUGUCUGAAUAAAUAAUAAGCAUUUUCAAUAUUAAUGACUGCCUAGCAAGCAAGGCAAAGCAGAUCUUAAUCUGGUUUGAGUUUCUAUCCUUACACAUUCAUUUUACUCUUGCAAAGCAUAUUAAAUACUAUGGAAUGUAUAAAAAAGGCCACAAUUUCUUCUCUAUUGGUAUACUGAAAGUCUUUGUGUGUCCAAGGUAAUAGGAAUUCCCACAUUCGUGCUUACUGUAAAAUACAGCAAGCAAAAGCUAGAUAAAUUCUGUUUAAUAUGGAAAUAAUUUUGGCUGCAUCUUUGGCUUUGUAUGACAUGGAAACUGGUGAUUGUUUAUGCUUUCCUACUUUUUUUGGUCUGCAUUAAAAUCCCACAUGAGAAACAAAUUUUUCUCUAGGAACAAAAUGUUACUUUUUUGGGACUGAGUUCUAAUAAGCUGGGUAGUACGUCUGCUUCUUUUCAGCUGGGAAAUUGCAAUGCAUAUAAAAUCCAGAUGGAUAACACAUGAGGCUGGAAGCAGCCUUGGCCAAUCAGCCACGUCACUUGAUUAAAAGAAACCUAUAAUAAUUUAAGUAAAAAUAGUACCCUAACAAAGUAACAGAGCAACAAACUGGCUGCAGCAUGCGAUUUCAUCACAGUUCCAAUAUUGCUUUACUUUUGCUGGUUGGUCCUUUCAUAUCUUAUUGUAAAUUAACCUAUUUGCAUUAAGCGUGCAUGGAACUUGUGAUUAAAGCCCCAAAAUGUCAGUGAUGGAAGAUACAUGAUAAGCAGGAUGAGGGGGGAAAUCCAUCACCAGACUACAGAAGGCCACAAGAACCUAUUGCUCUUAGGGCAGUGGUGCACUUGAAGAACUCAGCUGAGAGUUUUGCCAUGAGGAAUCACCUACCCUGGCACGUGCCACACUAGUGCAGACCAGUACUUUUUGUAUGGAUUUUGUCUGUGACUGUCAGAAAGCAAGUAAGUGCAUCAAUGCAAUUACAAGGUCACUCUGCGGAAAAACUCCUGAGUAUCCCGCGAGAUGCAGCAGAUUUGUGGGUGAGACUGUCUAAGGCAGCCUGUGAAGAAGUCACAGACAGGACUUGCAGAGGGAUGGAGCCACAUCUGGAAUCCCUGUGGGCAAUUGAAGGAAUGUUUAUUAUUCUUUGUUUAUUAUUUUGAGUGUGUACUCUCCCUCUUCCUUUCUUUGUCUCUCUUUGUUAUUUGUGUAAUAAAAUUCCUCUAGGCAUACAAAGUAAGUAAGUCAUCUGGAAUUGUGCAGUUCCCUCUGCCAGGAAGCUGGAAAAGCCUCUCGUGCAGAGACAAAAGUAUGGGCUCAUCUCAAACACUGAGAAAUUACAGAAAUAUUCACCAUUUGCCUUUGAGUUAUAUUUACAUAGGAAAGAACUGUGGCAAAUACGUGUGCUUCUUGCUGUUAAAAAAAAUUGGCUUUUAUCCUGCCCAAGGUGUUGUGUUUAUUUAAAAGUUGUUGAGAAAUAAUUUGUACAUUCUAAAAUAAAGCAUGCAAAAUACAUUAAAAGGGCCCAGUGACAAAGUUGUUUUUUUUUUUUUUGCCAGUGGGUGUGGAGAAGGAAAAGGAAAUGAGUAAGUAGAGAGGAGCGUCUUUAUGGCCACAUGGCUAGUGAAAAUUUCUAUUUAUUCUUUGGGGAAAAAGCAAAGUAGCUGCAUAGUUGCUGGUUGGAUAGGUGCCGGGACUAUUUUUAUUGGCAGGCAGCUCUGAGUGGCUGAAAGGCGGUCAUUAACACUCUGACACAAAGUGCUGACAGGGCGAUUAUAAGAUUAACACCCUAUGUUAUAUUAACAGUGUCAAAACCUCCCCGUACCUGUCAGUGAGAAAUAAUGGCACGAAGGAAAACAUUAUAGACAUGCUGAGACUUUAGCAUUGAAAUACCAUGCAGCUAUUCACUUUUUGAAAUUGAUCUAAAUAUCUAGAUGACCUACUGAAGGCUCAUAAAAUAAUGUGAUUUAAAUGGCAGCUUCACCAAAUCAAAAAAUGAAUGCAAAAGUUAAGCCGCCCAGCUUACUUACUCUCUUGUUGACACUUUUAGCCCUGAUCUCCCUGGCAGUGGGUCUCUCACAACUGCUGCCUUUCAGUAGAGUUAUGGUUUGAGAUCUCAUAAAUUUAGGAUUUGACCUUAGGACUUUUGACAAAAACAGAGCUUUUCUGGAGAAUAUUAUUACUGGUCAAAAUUCAACCUCGGUCUUUCUCCAGGACUGCUAGUCAUCAUAGACUGGUUUUAUCAGUGAGAGCCUUUGGACCAUAAGGACCAAUCUGCAUUUAAAAUGUCUCUGCUCCACGUUCAUUAGAACUGGAAUAGCAAACCCUCUGGCAUAGCUGUCCUGGAGAAUAUCCAAAGAAUGGCAACGAAACCAGUGAAGUUUCUGGAUCACAAGUCUUAUGGAGAGCAACUGAGGGAAAUGAGAUUGGUCAUUCUGGAGAAGGUGAGGUUCGGGGAAGACCUUAUCACACUCUACAGCUGCCUAAAAGGAGGUUGUGGUGAGAUGAGGGCUCUUCUCCCAGGUUUCAGUGAUAGGAUGAGAGAUGAUGACCUUAAAUUGCACCAGGGGAGGUUCAAGUUGGAUAUUAGGGAAAAUUUCUUCUCAGGAGUGGUGAUGCACUGGCACAGGCUGCUCAGGGAGGCGGUAGAGUCACUGUCCCUGGAGGUGUUCAAGAAAAGGGUGGGUGUGACACUGAGGGACAUAAUCUAGAGCAGUCGUGGCCGUGGCUUGAUGGUUGGACUAGAUGAUCGUAGUGGUCUUUUCAACCUUGAUGAUUCUAUGAUAGCUUCAGCUAGACUGCCUUAUGCUGCCUUAAGUUCUGCCAGUUUUGAUUAAGAGGAUAAGCCAGGACAAAAAAAGUUCUUCCUGUAAGACUAAAUCUGUACCUUCACUAGUAAAAAAUAUUGUUCAAGUGUUGCCAGGCAAAGCAUUAUUUCUGUAUUUUUAUUAUUAUAUUUUAUGUUGUAUAUGAUGAUAAUACAGUCUAUAUAUUUUUGUCUGUAAGACUGAUAAAUAAAAUGCAAAUUAAAUAUUCUUCUAAUACUUUGGUUUCUAACCAAAUAAAGACAUGGUCAAAUCAC